CACGUAGGGCGCAAGCGUUGUCCGGAAUUAUUGGGCGUAAAGAGCUCGUAGGCGGACUGUCACGUCUGCCUGUGAAAAGCUAGGGCUUAACCCUGGCCUUGCAGUGGAUACGGGCAGACUAGAGGUAGGUAGGGGAGAAUGGAAUUCCCGGUGUAGCGGUGAAAUGCGCAGAUAUCGGGAAGAACACCCGUGGCGAAGGCGGCAGCUCGUGGGACGGUACUGACGCUGAGACGCGAAAGCGUGGGAG
rnacentral:rRNA from 1 species